rnacentral:rRNA from 1 species
UACGUAGGGUGCAAGCGUUGUCCGGAAUUAUUGGGCGUAAAGAGCUCGUAGGCGGUCUGUCGCGUCUGCUGUGAAAACUCAGGGCUUAACCCUGAGCUUGCAGUGGGUACGGGCAGACUAGAGUGCGGUAGGGGAGACUGGAAUUCCUGGUGUAGCGGUGAAAUGCGCAGAUAUCAGGAGGAACACCGGGUGGGCGAAGGCGGGACUCUGGGCCGA